CUUUAAUGAUGCAACUUGCACAUGUCUUACGCCCUGUGUCGGCACCAGAACCUGAAAAGGUGAACCCACUGGUGUUACCUGGGCAAGAAGGGGAUGACUUGUUGGGGUUACCAACAGUCUGAAAAGG